rnacentral:rRNA from 1 species
CGGAUCGGAGUCUGNAACCCGACUCCGUGAAGCUGGAUUCGCUAGUAAUCGCGCAUCAGCCAUGGCGCGGUGAAUAUGUUCCCGGGCCUUGUACACACCGCCCGUCAAGCCAUGGAAGCCGGGGGGUGCCUGAAGUGUGCAGCCGCAAGGAGCGCCCUAAGGUAAAACCGGUGACUGGGGCUAAGUCGUAACAAGGUAUC